ACUGUUGGAAGACUAUCAUCACCUCUCUACAUACAAAUAUUUCCCACGAGGUGCAUGUGGUCUGUACUCUGUACUGGGGCUGUGGACAAGGAGAUGAGGAGCUGAGUGGAAGAGAGGAGGAAGGGAAGAGAGGAAGCGGGGCAGUGGGCAGUGUGGAUGCCUGGGCCUCCGGACACCCAUCAAACCAAGCUGCCUGGGACUGGCUGGCUGCUUGCCAGUAACCACAAACAGGAACAGGGAUGGCAUUGGCACUUUACACAGGGAGGAGGAAGAUCUCUCUGUCACUCUGUUUCUCUCCUUCUCUCUCCUCACUGUCCCCUCCAUCGCUUUAUCUCUUCCACUCUCUCCUGACAAGGCGUACAUUCUCUAGACGAAAUUAGUAAAAACAGUGGAGGUGUUUUCAGUUAACACAUCACUUUACAGAGUCCUUAUGUAGAGUCCUUAUGUAGAGUCCUUAUGUAAUUUCUUUGUUGAAGUGCUCUACAUUGUUAACUGCUUCAUCCAAUACAGGUCGGUGCAGACAAACAACAGAAAGCGUGAACAGUGAUUCACUUGAGUAUCAAUCUGCCUUCCAGCUGCCAUUGGGAAGCUGAACGCUUGACAGGGUUGGUGCCUCAUCAGCACAUCUCUGAUCACUCUUAAUUUAAUCAAAUGGAGUGUCUUUAAUUAAUGGCUGGCUUCAUCUCAGUUUGGGCCACACUGAUGUCUCACUCACUGUUAGCUGGCAUGACGGACAGCUGGGAAUAAAAACUCAAGCACAUGUUUCAUCAUCAAACGCACUUACAUCAAACAAAUCUGGCUAAUGCAUGUUUAAUGGACACAAGGUGAUAUUUCUCCUAAUAAUUUAACGCAUAACCUCCCCUAACUGUCACACAGACAGUAAUAUUUUAACCCCUCGUUGAUGUUACCUAGCUGUUGAAUGGACACAAGGUAAUAUACUAUAUUACCUCAUAAUUUAACACAUGACUUAAUCUCCCUAUAUUACUGAUGACGCAGGCAGAAUAUUUAACACAUUAUCUCCUUUACAGUCACACAGGCAGCAACACAUUAACAUUGACCCUUGGUUCGCUAUCUAGCUGUUGUCAGCCCAAUGUACUUGGUCUGAAAUGUGACGUCUGCUCAGACUGACCCAUUAGGUUAAAUGAUCUAUGAUAGCCUCAUCUGCAUCCUCCUCGCUCCAUUGCACAGAAAUAAAACAUCUUCUGUCUCUUCUCUUUCA